rnacentral:rRNA from 3 species
AGUCAUAUGCUUGUCUCAAAGAUUAAGCCAUGCAUGUCUCAGUACAAGCCAAAUUAAGGUGAAACCGCGAAAGGCUCAUUAAAUCAGUUAUGGUUCCUUAGAUCGUACCCACACUUACUUGGAUAACUGUGGUAAUUCUAGAGCUAAUACAUGCAAAUAGAGCCCCGACCGGNNNNAGACGGGAGGGNGCGCNNNUUUUAUUAGAUCAAAACCAAUCGGCGGNCGGGUCNNAAACCGUCGUCGUAUUCUUUGGUGACUCUGAAUAACNUUGUUGCUGAUCGCACGGUCUCGCACCGGCGACGCAUCUUUCAAAUGUCUGCCUUAUCANACUGUCGAUGGUAGGUUCUGCGCCUACCAUGGUUGUAACGGGUAACGGGGAAUCAGGGUUCGAUUCCGGAGAGGGAGCCUGAGAAACGGCUACCACAUCCAAGGAAGGCAGCAGGCGCGCAAAUUACCCACUCCCGGCACGGGGAGGUAGUGACGAAAAAUAACGAUACGGGACUCAUCCNGAGGCCCCGUAAUCGGAAUGAGUACACUCUAAACCCUUUAACGAGGAUCCAUUGGAGGGUAAGUCUGGUGCCAGCAGCCGCGGUAAUUCCAGCUCCAAUAGCGUAU